UACGUAGGGUGCGAGCGUUAAUCGGAAUUACUGGGCGUAAAGCGUGCGCAGGCGGUUCUCCAAGUCCGUUGUGAAAGCCCCGGGCUCAACCUGGGAAUGGCAGUGGAAACUAGGGGACUGGAAUCUGGCAGAGGGGGGUGGAAUGCCGCGUGUAGCAGUGAAAUGCGUAGAGAUGCGGCGGAGCACCGAUGGCGAAGGCAGCCCCCUGGGCUGAGAUUGACGCUCAGGCACGAAAGCGUGGGGAGCAAACAGG
rnacentral:rRNA from 1 species